AAGAACAAACUUCACGGCUAUGUAUUGGAUGAGUUAAGUAUAAACCCCUUAACAAGUAUCAAUUGGAGGGCAAGUCUGGUGCCAGCAGCCGCGGUAAUUCCAGCUCCAAUAGCGUAUAUUAAAGUUGUUGCAGUUAAAAAGCUCGUAGUUAAUCUUCUGUUAAUUUUUAUAUAUAAUAUCUCGAAAUUUAUAUAAUAUUAACAUAAUUCAUAUUACUUUUUAGUAUAUGAAACUUUACUUUGAGAAAAUUAGAGUGCUUAAAGCAGGCUAUUGCCUUGAAUACUCCAGCAUGGAAUAAUAUUAAGGAUUUUUAUUCUUCUUAUUGGUUCUAGAAUAAAAAUGAUGAUUAAUAGGAACAGUUGGGGGCAUUUGUAUUUAACAGUCAGAGGUGAAAUUCUUAGAUUUGUUAAAGACAAACUACUGCGAAAGCAUUUGCCAAGGAUGUUUUCAUUAAUCAAGAACGAAAGUUAGGGGAUCGAAGACGAUCAGAUACCGUCGUAGUCUUAACCAUAAACUAUGCCAACUAGAGAUUGGAGGUGUCUCCACCCCCCCCUUUAAACCCGGCCGAGAGCAAA
rnacentral:rRNA from 1 species